UUAGAGUUUGAUCCUGGCUCAGAUUGAACGCUGGCGGCAGGCCUAACACAUGCAAGUCGAACGGUAACAGGAAUCAGCUUGCUGAUUUGCUGACGAGUGGCGGACGGGUGAGUAAUGUCUGGGAAACUGCCUGAUGGAGGGGGAUAACUACUGGAAACGGUAGCUAAUACCGCAUAACGUCGCAAGACCAAAGAGGGGGACCUUCGGGCCUCUUGCCAUCGGAUGUGCCCAGAUGGGAUUAGCUAGUAGGUGGGGUAACGGCUCACCUAGGCGACGAUCCCUAGCUGGUCUGAGAGGAUGACCAGCCACACUGGAACUGAGACACGGUCCAGACUCCUACGGGAGGCAGCAGUGGGGAAUAUUGCACAAUGGGCGCAAGCCUGAUGCAGCCAUGCCGCGUGUAUGAAGAAGGCCUUCGGGUUGUAAAGUACUUUCAGCGGGGAGGAAGGGAGUAAAGUUAAUACCUUUGCUCAUUGACGUUACCCGCAGAAGAA
rnacentral:rRNA from 1 species